GCCCACAUAGCUCAGGUGGUUAGAGUGCGUCCUUGGUAAGGACGAGGUCACCGGUUCGACUCCGGUUGUGGGCU
rnacentral:tRNA from 1 species